UACGUAGGGUGCGAGCGUUGUCCGGAAUUAUUGGGCGUAAAGAGCUCGUAGGCGGCCUGUCGCGUCGGAUGUGAAAACUCGGGGCUUAACCCCGAGCCUGCAUUCGAUACGGGCAGGCUAGAGUUCGGCAGGGGAGACUGGAAUUCCUGGUGUAGCGGUGAAAUGCGCAGAUAUCAGGAGGAACACCGGUGGCGAAGGCGGGUCUCUGGGCCGAUACUGACGCUGAGGAGCGAAAGCGUGGGAGCGAACGGAUAGAACCCAGUAGUACC
rnacentral:rRNA from 1 species